GCGUGAGUGAAGAAGGCCUUAGGGUUGUAAAGCUCUUUCAGCGGGGAAGAUGAUGACGGUACCCGCAGAAGAAGCCCCGGCUAACUCCGUGCCAGCAGCCGCGGUAAUACGGAGGGGGCUAGCGUUGCUCGGAAUUACUGGGCGUAAAGGGCGCGUAGGCGGGCCAGCCAGUCAGGCGUGAAAGCCCCGAGCUCAACUCGGGAACUGCGCUUGAAACUGCUGGUCUGGAGUUCGGGAGAGGGUAGUGGAAUUCCCAGUGUAGAGGUGAAAUUCGU
rnacentral:rRNA from 1 species